UACAUAAUCACAUCUCAUGCUUAAUAAUUAUUUCAAGAAGAUUUCUUAAAUCAAAUACAUCAUUCCUAUGUAACUAUAGCCAACAAUGUAAGUGUUUAAAACUUCUUAAAUAAUUGCCUUAGUGGAGGAUCAUGAUGCAAUUUCUAAAAUUACACCAUUACCAACUUAAUCAUUUUAUUAGAAGAUUUCCUUGGCCGACCUAAUUACUAUUCGGUCUCACUUUGCACAUUAACCAUUUUGCAUGCAUAUCUCAUACACAUCAUGAACAUACAUAUCUUAUACAUACAUUCAUCAAAAUGAAAAAGUAAAAGGCAUGAUCAUAGGCUAUUCUGUGAAAAUCCAAUCCUAGCUAAAAGGAUUUAGAUUAUAGGGUA
rnacentral:misc_RNA from 1 species